rnacentral:rRNA from 1 species
ACCGGCGGCUCGAGUGGUGGCCACUAUUACUGGGCUUAAAGCGUUCGUAGCUGGCUUGUUAAGUCUCUGGGGAAAUCUUCCGGCUCAACCGGAAGGCGUCUCAGGGAUACUGGCAGGCUAGGGACCGGAAGAGGUGAGAGGUACUCCAGGGGUAGGAGUCACAACGAGUGCUCAGGUGGGGAGGACGUGAGGCGAGGGCGGCACACCAGGAUGACUCCGAUUGUGAGGAACGAUAGCUGGGGGAGCAAUCAU